rnacentral:rRNA from 1 species
AUUGAACGCUGGCGGCAGGCUUAACACAUGCAAGUCGAGCGAGCGGCGGACGGGUGAGUAAUGUCUGGGAAACGGCCUGAUGGAGGGGGAUAACUACUGGAAACGGUAGCUAAUACCGCAUACCAUCAGAUGUGCCCAGAUGGGCUUAGCUAGUAGGUGGGGUGAUGGCUCACCUAGGCGACGAUCCCUAGCUGGUCUGCGAGGAUGACCAGCCAAACGGGAACUGAGACACUGUGCAGACUCCUACGUGAUGCAGCAGUGGGGAAUAUUGCACUAUGGGCGAAAGCCUGAUGCAGCCAUGCAGCGUGUGUGAAGAAGGCCUUCGGGUUGUAAAGCACUUUCAGCGAGUAGGCGUUACUCGCAGAAGAAGCACCGGCUAACUCCGUGCCAGCAGCCGCGGUAAUAC